rnacentral:lncRNA from 1 species
UAGGGUAUCAAGGUAAAAAAGCUCUAUUCACUAUUACCAGAUUGUAUGUCUUCACGCUUCUUGGAUAAUUAUGUUCUUAAAACAUGAUUAGAUCUUCAUUUUUAUGAUGGCUGUAUGAAAGUAGAAUCUUAAUAAUCACAUGUGCUAUCAUUACUUAAGUGUGUUUCCUGUGUUCCUUUUACACAGAGUCGGGAUACAAUUAUGGAUGAUUCACUGCCUACGGAUGAUUCUUCCGUCGUAAAAUAUCAGGAACAUGGAGAGGGUGUUUCAGGCAAUCCCCUUGUUACAUCAUGCGAAAUUCUGGGGACAGAAACUCUUGAAGACGGACAUUUUGACAGGGAGCAACCUACAACUGAUGGAAUGUCAGAUUCCUGUGCAUUAACCUUUAAUGCCACUAGAAUCAUUGGUGCUAAGCGUCCAUAUGAGCAUGACAAUCUAAACGUUAGUGAUAAGAAAAGCCGGACUGUUGAUGUUGAUAGUGAUGAUGUGAAUAACAUGAAGGAUAAUUUGGCU